rfam:Streptomyces sp. 769, complete genome.
CUUCAGGGAGCCGAGCCACAGCGGCUGGUCCGGGGUGUGUCCCUGGCCGUAGGUGGCGAGCAGGGCCUGGGCCUC